UAACUUGCUGCAAAACAAUAACACAAAAGGUCUGGACUAUGGAGUGCAGCAUUACUUGUUUGGUCAUCUACAUUCAGAUGAAAACACCACACUCCUCUCUAAUUCAAGAUGUCAAGCCUACUCAUCGCAAGGAGAGUUAGCAUCAAAAUGGAUGUGUCACUGACCAAUAACACAGAUAUGCCA